UGAGAAGAAGAAGAAAAAAAGAAGAGAGAGCCUUGCAAGGUCGCUCAGAAGACAAAGGGAACGGAGAAAC
rnacentral:sRNA from 1 species